UACGAAGGGGGCUAGCGUUGCUCGGAAUCACUGGGCGUAAAGCGCACGUAGGCGAAUCUUUAAGUCAGGGGUGAAAUCCCAAGGCUCAACCUUGGAACUGCCUUUGAUACUGGGGAUCUCGAGUCCGGAAGAGGUUGGUGGAACUGCGAGUGUAGAGGUGAAAUUCGUAGAUAUUCGCAAGAACACCAGUGGCGAAGGCGGCCAACUGGUCCGGUACUGACGCUGAGGUGCGAAAGCGUGGGGAGCAAACAGG
rnacentral:rRNA from 1 species